UUAAAACUUUAUUAACACUAAAUUGUAAUUUUAGAACUCUUAUCUCGCAGUAAGUAUUUAAGCGAAGAGACAUAUUAUUGGUUUUUAUUUGUUCAAAUUCUAGGACAAUAUUCAAUAUUCUUUAUACAUAUCGAUAUGCCCUCUUUGGAUAAAACGCGGAUAUGACAUUCGGAAAAAGGCUGAAAAACGUUUUUUGAACCAUAUCCGCGUUUUAUCCUUUUGGAUACCCUUUUGGAUAAAACGCGGAUAUGGCUUAAAAAAGGCUGAAAAACGUUUUUUAAAAGCCAUCCGUCCGUCCGUCCGCCACUCAUCCGUCCGUCCGCCAUCCAUCCGUCCGUCCGUAUCCGCGUUUUAUCCUAACCCCUGCGCGCAGGCUAGCGAAAUCUGGGCUCCUCAAGGUCCGUCUGCUGAUCUGCUUCAUCUCGAAAGAAUUCGACGUCGAGCAACAAAAUUUCUUCUUAAGGAUUAUAAAUUGUCGUACGUUGGUCGCUUGAAAAACUGAAUCUAAUCCCCCUCUCAUACUAGCAUGACAUAUUCCUCUACAAAUGUAAAUACCGGUUGUACGAACAACUCGAC